CCAGACUCCUACGGGAGGCAGCAGUGGGGAAUAUUGCACAAUGGGCGAAAGCCUGAUGCAGCAACGCCGCGUGAAGGAAGAAGGGUUUCGGCUCGUAAACUUCUAUCAACAGGGACGAAAGAAAUGACGGUACCUGAAUAAGAAGCCCCGGCUAACUACGUGCCAGCAGCCGCGGUAAUACGUAGGGGGCAAGCGUUAUCCGGAUUUACUGGGUGUAAAGGGAGCGUAGACGGCGAUGCAAGCCAGAUGUGAAAGCCCGGGGCUCAACCCCGGGACUGCAUUUGGAACUGUGUGGCUGGAGUGUCGGAGAGGCAGGCGGAAUUCCUAGUGUAGCGGUGAAAUGCGUAGAUAUUAGGAGGAACACCAGUGGCGAAGGCGGCCUGCUGGACGAUGACUGACGUUGAGGCUCGAAAGCGUGGGGAGCAAACAGGAUUAGAUACCCUCGUA
rnacentral:rRNA from 1 species